AUGUUGAUUGGCUACUUGGAGCUUUGGAGUCUGUCCAGAUUUCUGUUGAUACCAGGCCAUACACUGUUCACCACCACAAGUUCCAACAGCUUGGCUGGUCUUACAGGUCAGAGUGACAGUGGAUCCUGGAGUAGAUUGCAGGAGGUUUUUGUACGGCCACUUAAUGACUUUGUAUCACUGUGGUGGACUUUUGGUGGAGGAACCAAACUCAUCUUGUACUCUGGCCCCAUGGUCAGGCCCUCAGUCUCUCUGCUUCCCCCCUCCUCUGAGCAGCUCUCUGGGGCCUCGGCCACGCUGGCCUGCCUGCUGAGCGGCUACGCUCCUCAGGGAGCCGUGGUGAGCUGGGAGGUGGACGGUACAGAGGUGACAGAGGGGGUCCUGAGCAGCUCAGAGGAGGAGAAGAGCGGACGCUACAGCAGCAGCAGCACCCUGAGCUUGAGCCAGGAGCGCUGGAUGAAAGGAGAGCUGUACUCCUGCAGGGUCCUCCAUCAUGACCACAGCCAGAUCCAGUCCCUCCGCAGGAGCAAGUGUUAGGUGUAGAGGGGCUGGCUGAAGACCAGGACAGGAGCUGUGUGUGGGGGGAGC